GUGAAAGUGUAGCGAAAGAGAAUGAGGAAAUCAAAAAGGAAUUGGAGGACACAGAAACUGGAGAAACUAGUGAUGAAAAGAGUCAGUUAGAGAAUGAAGAGAACAAAGAUGAAGAAAAGAGUCAGCAAGAGAAUGAAGAGAACAAAGAUGAAGAGAAGAGUCAGGUAGAGAAUGAAGAGAACAAAGAGGAAGAAAAGAGUCAGGUAGAGAAUGAAGAGAACAAAGAUGAAGAGAAGAGUCAGCAAGAGAAUGAA
rnacentral:lncRNA from 1 species